rnacentral:rRNA from 1 species
GGGUUGUGAGGUUAAGCGACUAAGCGUACACGGUGGAUGCCCUGGCAGUCAGAGGCGAUGAAGGGCGUGCUAAUCUGCGAUAAGCGCCGGUAAGGUGAUAUGAACCGUUAUAACCGGCGAUACCCGAAUGGGGAAACCCAGUGUGACUCGUCACACUAUCAUUAACUGAAUCCAUAGGUUAAUGAGGCGAACCGGGGGAACUGAAACAUCUAAGUACCCCGAGGAAAAGAAAUCAACCGAGAUUCCCCCAGUAGCGGCGAGCGAACGGGGAGGAGCCCAGAGCCUGAAUCAGCAUGUGUGUUAGUGGAAGCGUCUGGAAAGGCGCGCGAUACAGGGUGACAGCCCCGUACACAAAAGCGCAUGUGCUGUGAGCUCGAUGAGUAGGGCGGGACACGUGGUAUCCUGUCUGAAUAUGGGGGGACCAUCCUCCAAGGCUAAAUACUCCUGACUGACCGAUAGUGAACCAGUACCGUGAGGGAAAGGCGAAAAGAACCCCGGCGAGGGGAGUGAAAAAGAACCUGAAACCGUGUACGUACAAGCAGUGGGAGNNNNNNNNNNNNNNNNNNNNNNNNNNNNNNNNNNNNNNNNNNNNNNNNNNNNGGGCGUUAAGUUGCAGGGUAUAGACCCGAAACCCGGUGAUCUAGCCAUGGGCAGGUUGAAGGUUGGGUAACACUAACUGGAGGACCGAACCGACUAAUGUUGAAAAAUUAGCGGAUGACCUGUGGCUGGGGGUGAAAGGCCAAUCAAACCGGGAGAUAGCUGGUUCUCCCCGAAAGCUAUUUAGGUAGCGCCUCGUGAAUUCAUCUCCGGGGGUAGAGCACUGUUUCGGCUAGGGGGCCAUCCCGGCUUACCAACCCGAUGCAAACUGCGAAUACCGGAGAAUGUUAUCACGGGAGACACACGGCGGGUGCUAACGUCCGUCGUGAAGAGGGAAACAACCCAGACCGCCAGCUAAGGUCCCAAAGUCAUGGUUAAGUGGGAAACGAUGUGGGAAGGCCCAGACAGCCAGGAUGUUGGCUUAGAAGCAGCCAUCAUUUAAAGAAAGCGUAAUAGCUCACUGGUCGAGUCGGCCUGCGCGGAAGAUGUAACGGGGCUAAACCAUGCACCGAAGCUGCGGCAGCGACACUGUGUGUUGUUGGGUAGGGGAGCGUUCUGUAAGCCUGCGAAGGUGGCCUGUGAGGGUUGCUGGAGGUAUCAGAAGUGCGAAUGCUGACAUAAGUAACGAUAAAGCGGGUGAAAAGCCCGCUCGCCGGAAGACCAAGGGUUCCUGUCCAACGUUAAUCGGGGCAGGGUGAGUCGACCCCUAAGGCGAGGCCGAAAGGCGUAGUCGAUGGGAAACGGGUUAAUAUUCCCGUACUUGGUGUUACUGCGAAGGGGGGACGGAGAAGGCUAUGUUGGCCGGGCGACGGUUGUCCCGGUUUAAGCGUGUAGGUGUGUGUUCCAGGUAAAUCCGGUUCACUUUAACACUGAGGCGUGACGACGAGGCACUACGGUGCUGAAGCAACAAAUGCCCUGCUUCCAGGAAAAGCCUCUAAGCAUCAGGUAACAUCAAAUCGUACCCCAAACCGACACAGGUGGUCAGGUAGAGAAUACCAAGGCGCUUGAGAGAACUCGGGUGAAGGAACUAGGCAAAAUGGUGCCGUAACUUCGGGAGAAGGCACGCUGACACGUAGGUGAAGUGAUUUACUCAUGGAGCUGAAGUCAGUCGAAGAUACCAGCUGGCUGCAACUGUUUAUUAAAAACACAGCACUGUGCAAACACGAAAGUGGACGUAUACGGUGUGACGCCUGCCCGGUGCCGGAAGGUUAAUUGAUGGGGUCAGCGCAAGCGAAGCUCCUGAUCGAAGCCCCGGUAAACGGCGGCCGUAACUAUAACGGUCCUAAGGUAGCGAAAUUCCUUGUCGGGUAAGUUCCGACCUGCACGAAUGGCGUAAUGAUGGCCAGGCUGUCUCCACCCGAGACUCAGUGAAAUUGAACUCGCUGUGAAGAUGCAGUGUACCCGCGGCAAGACGGAAAGACCCCGUGAACCUUUACUAUAGCUUGACACUGAACAUUGAGCCUUGAUGUGUAGGAUAGGUGGGAGGCUUUGAAGUGUGGACGCCAGUCUGCAUGGAGCCGACCUUGAAAUACCACCCUUUAAUGUUUGAUGUUCUAACGUGGACCCGUUACCCGGGUUGCGGACAGUGUCUGGUGGGUAGUUUGACUGGGGCGGUCUCCUCCUAAAGAGUAACGGAGGAGCACGAAGGUUGGCUAAUCCUGGUCGGACAUCAGGAGGUUAGUGCAAUGGCAUAAGCCAGCUUGACUGCGAGCGUGACGGCGCGAGCAGGUGCGAAAGCAGGUCAUAGUGAUCCGGUGGUUCUGAAUGGAAGGGCCAUCGCUCAACGGAUAAAAGGUACUCCGGGGAUAACAGGCUGAUACCGCCCAAGAGUUCAUAUCGACGGCGGUGUUUGGCACCUCGAUGUCGGCUCAUCACAUCCUGGGGCUGAAGUAGGUCCCAAGGGUAUGGCUGUUCGCCAUUUAAAGUGGUACGCGAGCUGGGUUUAGAACGUCGUGAGACAGUUCGGUCCCUAUCUGCCGUGGGCGCUGGAGAACUGAGGGGGGCUGCUCCUAGUACGAGAGGACCGGAGUGGACGCAUCACUGGUGUUCGGGUUGUCAUGCCAAUGGCACUGCCCGGUAGCUAAAUGCGGAAGAGAUAAGUGCUGAAAGCAUCUAAGCACGAAACUUGCCCCGAGAUGAGUUCUCCCUGAGACUUAGAGUCUCCUGAAGGAACGUUGAAGACGACGACGUUGAUAGGCCGGGUGUGUAAGCGCAGCGAUGCGUUGAGCUAACCGGUACUAAUGAACCGUGAGGCUUAACCUUACAACGCCGAAG